CAACCACUUACCCUAAACACAAACCUUCACAGAACUCCCCAUGACGCUGGAAGCUCAGAGGUUUCAUGAACCCAUCUGCCAGGUUCUCCUGGCUUGGACAGUACUUCAGCUUCACCAAGCCUGUCUGGACAUUCUGACACACAUUCUGGAAACGUAUGUCCAAAUGUUUGGUUCUGAACUUAAACUGUCCAGACUCUGCCAACUUAAGACAAGGUUGAUUGUCUUCCCAAACAGUGAUGGGCAAGCAACAAUCCCCACAGAUCUCUUGGACCAAACACUGGUAGAAAUCCAAUUCCCUGCACAAAUCAGACAACGCACUGAACUCAGCCUCGGUAGAGGAAAGUGCAAUAAGACUUUGCUUCCGGGACUUCCACCCAACCAGAGAUUCCCCAAACUUCACUACUAACCCAGACACAGAUUUUCUGUCUCCAAGAUUUGCCCAGUCGCUGUCCAUCCAGCACGUGAGCCAUGCGUCAUCUUCAGCUGACGUAAGGCAAAAAUCUCUGGUAUCCUGCAAAUACCUCAGCACUCUCUUGAUGCCAAGCCAGACACUCACACUGGGCUUUGUAGCCUCCCGGCUGAGCAGAUUCACAGCAAACGCUAUGUCCGGUCUGCUCCACUGAGAGAGAUACAACAGACUCCCUAGCGCUGACUGAAACACCUCAGGGUUUUGGAACUCAGAACGAUCCCCAAGUUGACUGUCCUUCAUGUAGCUUGUCUCCAUGGGCGUUCUGACCCCUGCACAGUCAGACAUCCUGAACUUCUCAAGCAACUGCUCAAUCUUGCCUUUCUGACUGAGCAAAAAGCUUCCAUUCUCAGACCUGUCUAUCUUAACUCCUAGGUAAACCUUUACUGGACCAAG